GGCGAAAUGGUUUUGUUGUUGUAAUCAAAUCAUCCGAUGCAGGUGCAUCUGCAUGAUUACUUAAUUACGAGCCAGCUUCCCAUUGUUGAUGUUUGUGGAAUCAGAAACAGAUUUGACAAAGACCUUGCCAAGAAGUCUGGGACAAUGCAUGGUUCAUUUGGGUUUUCUGUAUACAAUUAUGAAAUAUACAUGUAAAAUAUUAUUUAUAAAAAUUUAUAUUGUAGUCUUUAAAGUCAAAAAUUAGGAGUUACUGCAGAAAAAGACAUUGAAUACUGGUCCAGGCAUGGAUGAAAAAGGAAGAGGGCUGAUAAUAGUUUGAGAGCCAAUUGCAUUAGGCAUGUCAAUUACGAAAGGAUUCUAAAUCUGCAUAUUUGUGAAUAUCAACAUGUUCCUUGUUUCA